ACCAUUCACCAUCAGCCUAAGUUAUGAUGAAUAACAGCAGCAGCCACGAGUUCACCAUCCCAGAAGGCAAGACAGAUGUUAGAUUUAGGAGGACAAACGUUGCGAAAGAAAACCAUGAAAGUGGAUUAUCUAUAACGUGAAGUUGACAUAAAUAACCUUCAAGAGAUGGGGAAAAGCUUUAUCAUACAAGUUGCUUCACAGAUUUAAUAUUUGUGACAUACCUGCCCCUGUAUGGAGGGUUGAUAAUAUCGUUCCAUGAAGUUAUGUACCUACAGAGAAUAUGUGAUGGUUUUGAAUAAGGACUGGAUCUAAAGCAAACUGUGGUUAACAAUAAAACCAGAUUCAAAGCACACCAUACCAUCCCAGGAACAGGCUGUUGUGGCCCAUAAUAGCCAUCUAGUGGUACAGCUCUAGAGUUCAGUUUUUCCUGCAAAAUAAAAUAUUAGAAAAAUGAAUUCAACAAUUAGAUUAAUAAAUCUUGAACGGAGGCAGUGUUCAAAGCACAACUUGCACAAUCAUGCUGUCUUCUGUUCCAACUGUUGAGAUCUCUUGCUCUAAGCCGCCCUGCAGAAAACAUGAUCCCAUCCUUAUACAAAGACAAUUUGCAUACAGAAUACAAGCAAGCAAACUGGGAAAAUAUA
rnacentral:lncRNA from 1 species